UGUUGAGGGUUAUUACUGUUGUUGCCGUUGUUGCUGCUGCCGCCGCUGCUGCAUGUUUGGUGUCUGAGCUAAAGAUACCCGCAUCGGUGUGAAAAUAAAAUGGAGUGCGUCUCAAUUGUGUCUUGAAGUAGACGGAAACUCCUCCGCAACGCCACGGUCAAUCGUAUGCAGGGGUGUGUAUACAUACAUAUAUGUGUACAUACAUACAUACAUUAAGUAGUAUAUCGUAAAUGUCUGCGUGUUUCUUCUGCUCUAUGGACUCGACCAUGUUUGAUUUUAAAGUCCGUUUCCCGAUAUCAGGAAGGCAGGCCGCACACACCAGAUUGAAAGGAAUUCGCAUUCGUCCUUUUGUUCCCCAGCAUUGCCAAGACUCGUCCUUUCCUGGGAGUUAUGUAUGUGCAUAUGUAUGUAUCUAAUCAUUCAUUUAAGAUUCACACGAUUUUGUUCUUUUGUGGAAGUUUGAAGUUUACCACUAUGAGAGGCUCCUUCUCUAUGGGUUAUAUUGGAAAGCCUUAUUGGAAAAUUAAUCAUGAAUUUCUGUUUUUUCUUAAAACGUUUUCUUCAAAACUUCCUCAAGGGGUUAGGAGUGACAUUCAUUUUAAAUUUAAUCCAAUUAAUUCGUUUAAAUCAUGAUGUCUGUAAAGGAUCUGAUAUGGACAGAUGAAGACAUUUUAGGAAAAAUUUUCUGCCAACUCCCGUAAACGAAAAACUGCCCGUAUCGGAUUGGAUUGAAAUCAAAUUAAAAUAUAAGGUGUUUUCGGUAUUUUAUAACAGUAAGCAGGAUGAUUCUACCAGGAGAGGCAUCGCCCAUGAAGUGUUACUUAAAUAAAUUUGGGAAGUGUCUUGGAUGUUUGAUUGAUUCAUGUUUGGGAAAACUUUCGUUGUGUAGCGUUAGAUCUGAUGGAUAGUCCUUCUAUGGAAAAUGUAGUCGUUCUGAAUUCUCCUUUGUACUAUUCAGAAUAGUAAUCCUGGCUGCCGAAACUAUUCAAUUCUAUGGAUCAGCAUAAGCCCUACGUAGAGUUUCUCGGUUUCUCAACUGAACAAUACGUACGAAUGAAUAUUCAAUGCUUGUCCAAUCGAAAUUCUUGUUAGAAAAAACCAAAAACAUUUAAUUUUCAGUGAAUGAAGUACAAAGACACGCGUACAGAUUUAUUUCCUUACGAAUCAUCCAAUUAAAUCUGACUCUAGGCAGUCUUCUCUUGCAGUGUUCGCGUUGUUUAACAACUCUGCAGCAUGCUAGUCUUGGCGAUGAAAAAGAGGCUGGUCACAUAGGUAAGCGGGAAUAUGGGAUCAGCGAUUAAAUAAAAAUAACUGGAGGAAGAUUGGAAAGUCACAGGGAAAUUAAAACAAUGCUUUUUCGAAUUUAAUUCAAAUCGAUAGAGUAUCAGGGUGUGGUGAUG